GGGAGAGUAGCUUAGUCUGGUCGGAGCACGCGACUGAUAAUCGCGGGGUCGGAGGUUCAAAUCCUCCCUUUCCCA
rnacentral:tRNA from 1 species